rnacentral:rRNA from 1 species
GACGAACGCAGGCGGCGUGCUUAACACAUGCAAGUCGAACGGAAAGGCCCUGCUUUUGUGGGGUGCUCGAGUGGCGAACGGGUGAGUAACACGUGAGUAACCUGCCCUUGACUUUGGGAUAACUUCAGGAAACUGGGGCUAAUACCGGAUAGGAGCUCCUGCUGCAUGGUGGGGGUUGGAAAGUUUCGGCGGUUGGGGAUGGACUCGCGGCUUAUCAGCUUGUUGGUGGGGUAGUGGCUUACCAAGGCUUUGACGGGUAGCCGGCCUGAGAGGGUGACCGGCCACAUUGGGACUGAGAUACGGCCCAGACUCCUACGGGAGGCAGCAGUGGGGAAUAUUGCACAGUGGGCGGAAGCCUGAUGCAGCAACGCCGCGUGCGGGAUGACGGCCUUCGGGUUGUAAACCGCUUUCGCCUGUGACGAAGCGUGAGUGACGGUAAUGGGUAAAGAAGCACCGGCUAACUACGUG